rnacentral:lncRNA from 1 species
GAGGGACAACCAUGGAAAAAUUAAUAGUGUAUUCUAAUCAAACUCAUAUCAUAUAAUCAUAGUUGAUUUUCAGAUCGUCAUCAUUGCAAAAUGAUAUUCAUAAAAAAGGAAUAUUUCUUGUCUUUUCUUUUACGAGAAAUGUCCGUGUUGCCAACUAUUCAUUACUCUUAUCUUUUUUUUUUUCUUUUUUUUUUAUGGAAAUUGGUACAUAAUUACUUUAUAAACAAGCAUGGUUUGAAAUUAGUUGGGCAAAAUAUUUUAACGACUUUGGAAAGGAGGUGAACUACUAAGAAAAAUUAACUUUCAAGUAUUAGUUUAAGUAAGACGUUUUAUCUCGCAAAAUAAUUGUUGAAUUAUAUUAUAACAACAUAGUACCCACCAUCACUAUCUUUAUUAGUUAUUUUGAUUUAAUAUUAGGCAGUUGCAUUUUCAUUUUCGCUUGGCUGUUGGCU